GCCUGCAUUACUGGGCUAGUCUUCCAUGGCAGUGUUCGCAUCUACAGCGCUGCACAGGACGGUCGAUCGAUCGGCCACUGCCAAAGGAGAUUUGCCCAGCGAUGCAGCA
rnacentral:pre_miRNA from 1 species